rnacentral:rRNA from 1 species
CAACAUCGGUUACGUUGGGGCGCUAGAUGUAGGGACCUUUCCACGGUUUCUGUGUCGUAGCUAACGCAUUAAGCGCCCCGCCUGGGGAGUACGGCCGCAAGGCUAAAACUCAAAGGAAUUGACGGGGGCCCGCACAAGCGGCGGAGCAUGCGGAUUAAUUCGAUGCAACGCGAAGAACCUUACCAAGGCUUGACAUACACCGGAAACGGCCAGAGAUGGUCGCCCCCUUGUGGUCGGUGUACAGGUGGUGCAUGGUUGUCGUCAGCUCGUGUCGUGAGAUGUUGGGUUAAGUCCCGCAACGAGCGCAACCCUCGUUCUAUGUUGCCAGCGGGUUAUGCCGGGGACUCAUAGGAGACUGCCGGGGUCAACUCGGAGGAAGGUGGGGAUGACGUCAAAUCAUCAUGCCCCUUAUGUCUUGGGCUUCACGCAUGCUACAAUGGCCGGUACAAAGGGCUGCGAUACCGUAAGGUGGAGCGAAUCCCAAAAAGCCGGUCUCAGUUCGGAUUGAGGUCUGCAACUCGACCUCAUGAAGUCGGAGUCGCUAGUAAUCGCAGAUCAGCAACGCUGCGGUGAAUACGUUCCCGGGCCUUGUACACACCGCCCGUCAAGUCAUGAAAGUCGGUAACACCCGAAGCCGGUGGCCUAACCCUUGUGGAAGGAGCCGUCGAAGGUGGGAUCGGUGAUUAGGACUAAGUCGUAACAAAGGUAGCCA